CCAGCAUACACAGGGGGUUCCCAAGACUGAGUUUGAAAACCAAUGUGCUAGAUAAAUGUGCUGUGUAUCUGGGUUUUUAAAAAAUCUUGAAUACAAUUAUUUAAGGAAAUGACGGCUAGCGAAACCAGCAUCACCCUUUAGAUGUUGGCAAUCAAUCAGGAGGUUAUUUUGGCUCUGUACUCCAGCACAUUGGAUUUGAAAUGAAACAAUGAAUAUGAGGUUAAAGUGGAGACAUUCAGGUCAUCAUGGGGUUGAAAAACAAGAAUAAACAGCUCAGAGACAUAUACAAAACAUUUGCAGGACAAUGACCCCAAGCACACUGCCAAAGCAACCAGGGCGUUUUUCAGGGCCAGAAAGUGGAAAGUGGAAGUCAAUCACCUGACCUGCAUCCAAUUGAUGUGUUUCACUUGCUGAAAACAAGAGUGAAAGCAAAAAAAAAAAAAAAAACCCAAAGGAUCUGAAAUGGC